rnacentral:rRNA from 1 species
UACGGGGGGGGGCAAGCGUUGUUCGGAAUUACUGGGCGUAAAGGGCUCGUAGGCGGCCAACUAAGUCAGACGUGAAAUCCCUCGGCUUAACCGGGGAACUGCGUCUGAUACUGGAUGGCUUGAGUUUGGGAGAGGGAUGCGGAAUUCCAGGUGUAGCGGUGAAAUGCGUAGAUAUCGGGAGGAACACCGGUGGCGAAGGCGGUUCUCUGGGCCUUACCUGACGCUGAGGAGCGAAAGCGUGGGGAGCGAACAGG